rnacentral:rRNA from 1 species
UGAGGAAUAUUGGUCAAUGGACGAGAGUCUGAACCAGCCAAAUCGCGUGAAGGAAGACUGCCCUACGGGUUGUAAACUUCUUUUGUACAGGAAUAAAAGACAUUACGUGUAAUGUAUUGCAUGUACUGUACGAAUAAGCAUCGGCUAACUCCGUGCCAGCAGCCGCGGUAAUACGGAGGAUGCGAGCGUUAUCCGGAUUUAUUGGGUUUAAAGGGUGCGCAGGCGGGAUUUUAAGUCAGCGGUGAAAUUUUCAGGCUCAACCUGAACACUGCCGUUGAAACUGGGAUUCUUGAGUAUGGAUGAAGUAGGCGGAAUUCGGUGUGUAGCGGUGACAUGCUUAGAUAUAACGAGGAACUCCGAUUGCGUAGGCAGCUUACUAAGCCAUAACUGACGCUCAAGCACGAAAGCGUGGGGAUCAAACA